rnacentral:lncRNA from 1 species
GCCUAAGCUGUUGGAUGAAAAGCAGACUACUAUCUAUAAGAGGGCUGUUGACAAGAGCUAUCACUUGAAGAUGAAAGCAUCUAGGUUCAUUUUCAGCGAAAUAAACCAGAAGUUCCCUAUUAUGCCAUUUUCUGCUAGGUAACUUGAUCACAGGCAUGUUUAUAUUAUGAUAUUCAAACUAGACAGUCUGAAAUUGGAGUCUCUUUGUUACACUUUAAAUUAUAGGGCUUUGGAAGAGAAGAGAGCUCGUCUGGGUUUGGUCGAAUGUGUGAAUCAUGAGCUCCUACAGCCUUAUCCUGUUCUGCAUGAAAUUAACCAAAAGUUCCCUAUCAUGCCAUUCUCUGCUAGGUAUUUUGAUCGCUGGCAUGUUUAUAUUAUGAUAUUCAAACUCUACUGUCUGAGCUUUGAAUCUCUUUGUUACGACAAAUGAACUCUUUCAUUAUAGGGCUUUGGAAGAGAAGAGAGCUCGCCUGGGUUUGGUGGAAUGUGUGAAUCAUGAGCUCCUUCA